CAUGAUUAACACAGGGAAGAGAGCUUCAGUCAGCUCAGGCGCUUGCUCUCAGUUCUUCAGUGUGAUGACCUCCCAAGUUGAGAGGACAGUUGCUGUGUCAUUUCUUGGACUAACAGACAGAUGUGUCACAUUAGCAGAAUGGGGACUUCCUUUGCUGUCACUGAGUUGUUCUAAUUGCUUGGUUUACUGUCCCAUAAGUAUUGCUGUGGAAUGGAAAGGGAGCGUCUAUGGAAUAUGGGGAGAAGGAUAGAGUAUUCACUCUAUUGCUGUUAAGCAAACACUUACCAAAAUGGAGAAGCUGGGAGCAAAACUGAAGAUCCUGGCUGCCCAAUACUCAGGGUUUAGUUGCAGGUGAAUCUUAUUGGAAGAAGAACAGGCCAUGAGGCCACUGGAAGUUCAUUAGAAUAAUUAGAUUAAGGAGAGAACAGAGAAGAUAUAAAAAGAAGAUUCCAAACUUUCGAUUUGAAGCCCGAAGAUUCUAGAAUAGGAAAGUCUU